UACGAAGGGGGCUAGCGUUGCUCGGAAUCACUGGGCGUAAAGCGCACGUAGGCGGAUUGCUAAGUCAGGGGUGAAAUCCUGGAGCUCAACUCCAGAACUGCCUUUGAUACUGGCGAGCUUGAGUCCGGGAGAGGUGAGUGGAACUGCGAGUGUAGAGGUGAAAUUCGUAGAUAUUCGCAAGAACACCAGUGGCGAAGGCGGCUCACUGGCCCGGUACAGACGCUGAGGUGCGAAAGCGUGGGGAGCAAACAGG
rnacentral:rRNA from 1 species